rnacentral:miRNA from 1 species
AGCCCGAUUUGCUGUUUCUCUG